AGGAAUCUCUGACAUGCUCUGACAAAUGUCUGAACUGGAAGACCAAGAGACCAAGACUCUGCUUUUCACUGCAGCGAACCCCAGCAGAUUUUCAUUUGAAUUUUUAUAUGGUGAUCCCUUAUCCAGCAGUGUGCUAGAUGUUGAUUUGAAUGGCAAAGUCAGAUGAAACGUUAAGGUAAGCUUAACUUUUCAGUACUGUUGGAAGAGGUGCUUCUGCUGUCAGACCUCAUUUCAGAUUACUUUGUACUUUCUUUUUUGCUCAUAGACUUUUCAAUAGUUACUGUUACUGGAUGAGCCAGUUCAGCUCCCCUUAUCAGGCAGAAAGUUACACAACUGCAGAACUUUCCCCUUCCUCCCUUCCUCCCUUCUUCCCUUCUUCUCUUCCUCCCUUCCUCCCUUCCUCCCUUCCUCCCUUCCUUCCUUCCUUCAACAAAAUAGAUUCUGUAAGCAAUCUAGGGGAAAAUUUCUGUUGGAACAGAGAAAGCACAACAGUGUGUUAUUUGGUAGUUGCAACCCAUUAAAUCAGGUCACCCCACCUUGCCUGACUGCCUUGUAAGUAAUCCUCUUGCCCACACAAGCAACAUAUUGUGUGACAGACAUGAGAUCCAAAGAUGAUAUAUAUGAAUUAUUUUAAUGACACAGGUUAAUGUUACAGAAUGUUGACAUGUCUCUUACGGUUUUCUAGUAAUUAUGUACACCCACCUUCCAUGGAUACUGUAACAAUAACACAGUAAUACUGUCACUAGCAAGCCUAGCAAGACUUCUCUGAUUCUAAACAAAUAACUAGCAGCAUUUCUGAAGUUUAACAAGCUAAUAGCUGUCCUGCACAGUAUGAGAAAACUUCAAAAACGUUUUUUUUAACCCUUAUUAUUAAAGAUGAACCUCAAUUUUAUAUAAGAAAAGUUCUCUUGUAUGAAAUAUUGAUGCCCUUUUUUUUUAAAGAAGGACCAUUUUAAGUGAAAAAUUAUUAACAUGGGAUUUUUUUUUAAUAUGGAUUUUGGGGUCCAAGUAUUUUCCAAAUCAUUUCAGUAGGUUGUUUUACUUGCUUGCUCUAUAGAAGCUUUAUGUAUUUGUUGUCCUUGGUUACCAGCUAUUUUUUCCCAGGUUAAUGAAAGUGUUGUUCACUUGCUCUAUUAACAUGAUUUUUUUUCAGUGAAGCUCAUAAAGGCACAGAGAAGUUCUUCUUAAUAUGAGAGUACAGUGGCACAAUCCAUUGAGCGUAUAUGGUAAAACCAAGAAAAAAAAGCCUACUUUUGAGCCAGAGUUUUAAUGAUUUAUGACAAUGGGAGUAAAGUUAACUGUGAGCCUCCUGAAGGUAUUGUUAGUUCAAGAGCUAUACAAUAUAUGUGUGAUGCCAUGUGUGCUUUGAGUGAUACAAAGCCCAGUAGGAGGCAAUUACAUCUGACAGCACCACUUAUUGUUUUAAUUUUAUAAUCUGACUAUCCAUCUCAUGUCAUUCCACUCCUAUACCUGUCAAGACUCACACUGUUGCAUCCCAUCUACAGUCGCCAGCAGUUCCCACUUGGUGAUCUGGCCCAUUAGGCACCAAAAAUGCAUAAAUUCUUUGAUAUUAUGGCCAGCUGUGCUUAACAAAUGGAGUCAUGGAGGAGGGAAGAAGCCAUAGUGCAGUACUGCUGCCAACAGAUAUAUUUCCUUUUAUGGAGGCCCUGCAUUCAAACAAGUGCUUAGUAGGUGGUACACAGCCGCAGUCCAAUGUCAUAGCAUCUUCUUCAUCUAAUUACCCCAGGUGUUGGACGCAUCACUCUCACCAUUUCAAGAGUGACAGUGGAUCUUGCCUGUGGGAAGGGAAGCAUGAGAGGAAUGUCCUAAAUUAUGAUCCCCUUCCUCUAUUGCAUUCCCUAUUUCUCUCUAUUACAUCAUCUCUGAAACCCAACAUGAUAUCAGUGAAAGAGUGCUCACAGAGAAGGUUAAUAUUUUGGGUGGCUCUUCAUCCCUGCUAAGUAUAUUUUAUUCUAGCAAAGUUAUUAACAUUUUUGCUAAUUGUUCAGUGUUAGUGUUAAUAGAAUGAACCAGCAAUAAAAGGCUUUCACAGAAAAAAAAAAAAAAACAAACAGUAUCUUUUGUUAGAAAAACAGAGUAGCUGAAAAAUCACAUGAACAUUUAGAACAUAUACACCAAUCUUCAGCUUUACACAUCAAUAUAAGACAACUAACAACCCACUAUUUCUACCAUAAGAUGGUAAUUCUCCGCAUGUUUCCUUCAUGUGUUUCCUCACUGUGUGCAAUAGAUUCUGUCUUACUGUUUAUCUUUUCAAGAGAGCACUUUCUUCUGGGGAUGAUUAAUGGAAUGUUAAUUGCUCUGUGCAAGACCUUAAACCAUAUUUCAUCACUUGGAAUGCAUUAUGGUCAAAUGGAAAACAAUAAGAGAGAGGGAAUACUCUCUAUUACAUCACACAAGUAACAAUGAAGGUACAAGCCAGAUGUGCAUAGGUAUGGGGAAAUUUUAUAUUGAACGCUCAUUUGAAAAUACAUUUUCUGUUUAUUGAUAAAUAAAAUACAAAUUGGGCAAAAUGAAAACCUAAAGGCCUGGCAGUUAUUUGUUUAUGCUCUGUGCAGCUCUGUGAGUGGCCUGAUGUGAGAUGGCUUUAUAAACUAAACUAUUAUUUUAAGAACAGAGGGAUACUGCCUCCACGCUACAUGUCUGCUUCUUGAAAUCUCUCCAUUACAUUUCCACCAUAAAGAUAAUUUUAAAUUGGAAAUAUCUGUUGUGUCCAUAUUUGUCAUGCACUCCACCAUUAAGAACCCUUCAUGGGUUAUCAUGAAGAGUACGUAACUACACAAGUGUAGAUUAAAACUAGCAAACAAAUCUUUCUUUCAUCAGUGCAUUGAGUUGUAGUUACUAUCGUGCUUCUUAUAGUUAGCAUUUAUACUGAAAGAAAUGUGAAAAAGAUAGAAAUGUAGAUGCUAAAGGAAUCCCAAGAUUUUUCAGUUUCUUCUCUUCCUUGAGUAAGAAUGUUGACUGUGACAGAUAUCUGACUGAAUUUUUUUUUACCUGUCUCCAAAGAUGAGAAAUUUACAAUAAUUUAAGAUAUAAUAAUAGUGUUUAACUGUUAUUACAAUAACUGAGUUUUCUUAUAAUAUAGCCUAAAGGUAGCUUGCAGUAAAUUAACUCAAUUAUUCUCAAUACUAACCUCAGUGAGACUGAGAAACAGCUGUUUACUAGCUCUGUAAGGAUUUCUCAUACACUUGAUUAACUGCUGUGUUUAAUAUUCAGACGUUUUUUUUUUUUUCUCCGAUUCUAAAAAAAAAAAAAAAAA